GUGGGGAAUAUUGGACAAUGGGCGAAAGCCUGAUCCAGCAAUGCCGCGUGAGUGAUGAAGGCCUUAGGGUUGUAAAGCUCUUUUACCAGGGAUGAUAAUGACAGUACCUGGAGAAUAAGCUCCGGCUAACUCCGUGCCAGCAGCCGCGGUAAUACGGAGGGAGCUAGCGUUGUUCGGAAUUACUGGGCGUAAAGCGCACGUAGGCGGUUACUCAAGUCAGAGGUGAAAGCCCGGGGCUCAACCCCGGAACUGCCUUUGAAACUAGGUAACUAGAAUCUUGGAGAGGUCAGUGGAAUUCCGAGUGUAGAGGUGAAAUUCGUAGAUAUUCGGAAGAACACCAGUGGCGAAGGCGACUGACUGGACAAGUAUUGACGCUGAGGUGCGAAAGCGUGGGGAGCAAACAGGAUUAGAAACCCGGGUAGUCC
rnacentral:rRNA from 1 species